GAUAACGGGGCAGAAGGGUUGCAGUGGACAGCAGAUCAGAGACCAUGACUGGCUAAAUAAUGACACAGCGACCCUGUGCUCCUGGGGUAGGUUUCCCCAUAACGAUGAAUCAUGUCAGAAGACGGCAACAGCGAUGUAAUAUUGUACAACCACAAUUCCAAAAAAGGACGCUGGGUAAAAAUGUCAAUAAAAACAAUGCAAUGAUUUGCAAAUCUCACAAACCCAUAUUUUAUUCACAAAUAGAAAACAUUUCAAAUGUUUAAACUGAGGAAAUGUACUGUUUUAAGAAAAAAAUAAGGUAAUUUUGAAUUUGAUGGCCACAAGACAUCUCAAAAAAGUUGGGACAGGGCAACAAAAGGCUGGAAAAGUAAGUGUUAUUAAAAAGAAACAGCUGGAGGUUAAUUGGGAACAGGACAGUAACAUGAUCGGGUGUUAAAAGAUUAUAUUAGAGAGGCGGAGUCUCUCAGAGGUAAAGAUGGGCAGAGGUUUAUAAAAUAGUUAACGAAUAUACAAAAUAAGUUUAGGAGCAGUGGUAGUUCUGUGUUGAAGACAUUGGAAGGUGAUGAGUUCAAAUACCAGCACUGCAAGCCUUACACUGCUGGGCCCUGGCAAGGCCCUCAAUUAUUCAGUUGUAUAAAAUGAAAUAAAUGUAAGUCACUCUGGAAAAGGGUCUCAAAUGCCAUAAAAGUAAAUGUAGACAACCAUUAAUCUAUUGGCUUUUUUAUUUUGUUUGGGUCCAGACUGGACAUCCUUGGUCCAGAAGUGACAUCCUUGGUCCAUAACUUUGUUCAUCUGAGUUUUAUAUUCGUUUACUGGAUGAACGUUUGUCUGUCAUGCUUCCUCCACACCCUCUGAGUAAGCAAUUUACUUAUCCUUACUGAGCUGGGGAAAUGAACAAGAUAAAAAAUAUCCUUCCUCUUUUGUGCUGCUCUCUAACUGUGCCUGUUCAAGACUGUUACCUGGGCCUCUCACCUACAGCAUCAUGGUCUU